rnacentral:rRNA from 1 species
UACGAAGGGGGCUAGCGUUGCUCGGAAUCACUGGGCGUAAAGGGCGCGUAGGCGGCCAUUCAAGUCGGAGGUGAAAGCCCAGGGCUCAACCCUGGAAUUGCCUUCGAUACUGUUUGGCUAGAGACCGGAAGAGGUAAGUGGAACUGCGAGUGUAGAGGUGAAAUUCGUAGAUAUUCGCAAGAACACCAGUGGCGAAGGCGGCUUACUGGUCCGGUUCUGACGCUGAGGCGCGAAAGCGUGGGGAGCGAACAGG